UACCUAAUAUCCAAAAACCCAUCGAACUCCUACCCUCCUCUAACAGUUUAACGCUCUGACUCCUUGUAGCGAGACGCAAAAACACCGCUUCGCUCGGCGUCGCCUCCCUCAUCUUUCUCUCCGCACCCAUGGCGAUGUCAUCUUCCGAACAACCGCUGAAGAAGCGAAGGCUGUUCGAUCCGCCACCGGAUACCGUGUCUCAGCCGGAGACCUCCGUGGCUCCACCGACCACUCCCCCUCCGUUGUCUCAAGAGGAAAUUCUCUUGAGGAGGAGAAACAGGGACGAGAUUCGAAGUGUUUACGAGAAUUACAAAAGGAUUAAGUCUUGCAUUUCCCUGAAAGGCAAAGAUGCUCGGUGCAUGCCUGAGCUUGAGCAAGCUUACCAUGCUCUAAUAACUGCUUCUAGAGGUUGUUUAAGUGUACAGCGUCUUGUGGCCGAUUUUGUUCCUCGAUAUGCCUCACACUGUCCAACUGCUCUUGAAUCUGCUACGAAAGCCAUCAUCGAUGUGCAUAACUCUAGCUUGGCAGUGAUAAGUAGGGGAGAAGAUGCUGAUAAUGUCGCAUUCCAAACUGCUAAAGCUUGCAUUUUUGGUCUGGCUGAUAUUUGUUCGACAGCUUCUAUAGAGGCACCAAGUUCAUUGGUUGCAAGAGGCAUCUGCUCAACUGUUUUCCAGAACGUUCUCUCGUUUCUCAUAGCAUCCUUCCAGGGGAAGGAUUUGUUUCAAAUUGUUGAUAGAGAUAUUUGUAAAAUUCUGGAUUCUGAUGAAAUGUUUUCCAAGCUAAAGCAAAAAUUUUCUGAUGAAGAUGAAUCUUCAUUGAUUAAGUUAUUCAAAUUACAAAUUUUGAGUCUACUCCGGAUUCUAUUCUGUUGUCCAAAAAAAUUGCUUUCUGCCUGCUUUGAGCUCUUCAGGUCAUCUGAAACUGAUGAAGCCGAUAAAGGGCUAUAUUUUCUGAGACAGGCAACAGGCAGGCUUGAUGAUCUUGAUCCCACUUUUGGUUUAGAUAAAAUAAAAGUAGAGCCUAAAAGCUGUAUGGAUUCCCUUGGAACUAGCACCAAAACCAGUGUGCUUACUGGUGAGACACCUGGAUCAGAUAGUUGCACUGCCAUAGAAGAUUCAUCUUCUGUUCUGAAGAGCUCUUUGUUGGGUCUGGUUUUUGGUAAAAAUCCGUCCUUGAGAAAUUGGAUGCUCUUAAAGUACAAGAAAUUAUGCAAGUCAUCUCCAUCUAAAUCUGUGCCAGAGAUUGUAUCUAGCUUGGAAGGAAUCUUUGAAUUGUUUGGGAAAGGUAUUAAUAUGGAAGCCAGUCUAGUAGACAGUGAUGAGGAUGAUUCUGAUUCCUCUAAAUUUUCUAGUCAGCCGAACUUGAUUUCUAGAAGUUCUAAUCAACAUGAAACCUUGAGUGACCAAUCUGGAAGAGGUAAGUCAAGCAAUGAGACUUGUAUUGAAAAUUUGUCAGGUCAAUAUCUGAAUCCCCACAUUGUUCCUCCAGAAACCAAUCUCCACUUAAAUGCUGGUUCUAGUCAUGAUAGUGGAGGUUCAAGGUCCGUGGACUUCGAAAGGCAUGACCAUGGGGAUUUGACCAGUAGUAGGUCUUCUGUUCCAAGGGACCAAUCAAGCCAUCAGUUGCUUUCACCUGCUACUAGAACCCCACGGGACUUAAGGGGUAAUUCGUUUGAGGGUAGAAAUCACUUUAAGAAUGUUGACAUGAGUCAAGGUUCAAAUUCAAGCGGCACUUCUGCCUUAAGAUCUGCUAGUGGAGGUGUAAGCAAUGCUUUGGCGUCACCCAGUAAUCGUUAUGGAGCAUCUUCUCUAAGUGUAUGGUAUUUUGAUAGUGAUCCUGCUAGCUUGGGUGUUUUCUCAGCUUCUCGGCAGCUAUGGUUGGGAUCUUUAGGGCCUGAUGCAUCUGAGGGUUACAUAAGGUUUGAGCUAGAGCGGUUUGGUCCCGUUGAGCAAUUUUUCUUCUUUCAAGUUAAAGGAUUUGCUUUGGUUGAGUAUAGAAACAUCAUUGAUUCGAUAAGAGCUAGGGAAUAUAUCCGUGGCUGUUUUCCUUGGCAAGUAAUGUUCAUGGAUAUAGGGUUGGGAACCAGGGGUUCUGUGAAUGGUGUUGCUGUUGGUUCUAGUUCUCAUGUUUAUGUCGGAAACAUUUCGAGUCAAUGGGCAAAGGACGAAACUUUGCAUGAAUCAAGGAAAGUGAUCUACAAGGGUCCUUACAUGGUUAUUGAUCUUACUUGUGAAUGUGCAUUGCUGCUGGAAUAUGAAACUCCUGAAGAAGCUGCUGCUGUUAUGGCACAUCUUAGACAACAUCGAAAAGAAAGAAACGGCCAUAUGCCUCCAUUUAAUGCAGCUCCACCUUCUGUCUCUAUGCCCCAUGUUGACAGUGGAAGGUCUGGUGCUGCUCCACCUAUCCAUGCUGACAUAAUAAACAAUACGUCUGGAAACAUGUCUAGCAGCUCAAUGGAACUUGUAUCUCCAAAGUUAAGGAUGGAGAAUCAUGGAACUCCAGCACCUGGUGCACAUCCAUUUCAGUCAAACUGGCCUCCUGAAGGUGCGGUGAGAAAAGGUGAUGGCUAUGACAACAACCUUAUUGCAGAUCCUGCACAAGGAGGUGGUGGUGCUGUCUCUGGUGCCUCUGCACAAGUAUGGAGUUAUCAGAAACCUGAAAGUGAGAUGCAUUCUGCACCUGGGAGCAUGCCAUGCAUGCCUAUAGCAACACAAAACCUUACUGCUCCACCACCACCCCCACAACUCCAAGCACCUCCAUUUAUGCGACCUGUUUACCAUCCUCCAAACAGUUCCUGGGAUCCCAGAGGUUUGAAUCACCAGUUUCCUCAGAAUCCAAUUUCACCUGGUGUAGUGCCUAAUACAUUUCAUGGCAAUGCUGUUCCACCUCCACCUCCACCUCCCUUUGUAUCUGCUUCUGUGACUCCACUUGCUCAGAUGCAAGGACCUCCAGUGCAGCAUUUUGAGCAGAGGUUCCCUCAUCCUGUUGUUCCGCCACCUCUAUCAUCGAUGCCGCCUCCGCCGCCACCGCCUCUAUCUCCACCACCAUUGCCUCAGUCGUUGCCACCUCUGGUUCCCCCUCCACCUAAUUCACCUCCUCCCCCUCCUCCACCUAUAGCAGAAUCAACUGACAUGGGUAGUUCUGAACGGUGUGUAAAGUAUCAGUGGCAGGGCUCAUUAUGUAAGAGUGGAGCUCAUUAUUGCACAAUUUAUGCUCAGAGACUAGAUUCAGAUCUUUGCAAAUAUUCAAAUGCCAGUCCUGAGCCCACAGAAUGGCCUGCUAAACUAGACAUGACCAAGCGCACAGAUUUUCGGCAUGUGAAGUCAACAUUCACCAAUACCCCACCACAUAAAAGAGAAGUUUGUUGUUUGAUCCCUUCUUCCACAAGUGACCAUAAAGGCUUUCAGGAUUUUAUUUCAUACUUGAAGCAGAGGGAUUGUGCAGGAGUUAUUAAGAUUCCAGUAGUGAAAUCCAUGUGGUCCAGGCUUCUUUUUAUUCUUCCAUACUCGCAAGAUGCAUGUUCCAUGCUUUCUGUUGUACCACCUAAUGCAUCUGACUGCCUCAUUGCCCUGGUUUUGCCCAAAGAAACAAACUUUGAGUGGGUUUGAGCUUCAUGGCUUACUUCCAGUGAAACCCUUGUUCCAGUCUAUGAAUCUUUGGGAAUGGAUAAAUGGUACUCGUGCAUCACCAGCAGAGGGUACCCAUAGUUAAUCGCCCUUCACUGUCAUCAACAGUUGGGAGGUUCCAAAGCGGCCUAAGAUGACUUGCCUGAUCAUUAUGCUAUUGGGACUUAUGGAUUCAUCUCAAAAACUUGCCCAGAUUCCCCAGUACCAGAAUGUCCAGAGGGAGGGGGGAAAACAUAAUUACAGCUCGUAUCACAAAGAAAGUCUUGGAAAUGGAGGAAUGCAAAAACAUGAUGAAUCAUGACAGGAAUAUGCCUUUAAAUAAAUCACAUAAAGAGUACAACAAGAAUGAAGUUUAUUUGAUAUGAAGCCACGCCAAUACAACCAAAAUGGUUCGUCGCUUAUCAGAUUUAGAUUACAAUAUGUUGGCGUAUCAGGUGAACUAAUGGUGUUCCUGCUCUGGCUUGGCAGCAGCUUAUGAAUCUUCAUCGCCUACAUUAACAGCAUAGUGCCCAAAGUUCCUACCCUGAGUACAAAGAGAUACAUCACCAGCCAAUUCACUAAUAAUCAGUUUGUAGACACAAAUCAGAGACACGUACCGCAGAUAGCAUCCGCUGCUUAUUCAAUAGCUGGGUUCUUGCUUUGUUGAGGGCUGAAUUCGGUGACUUGUACAUUCUCUGUAUCACAGAAUCAGAAGAAAUCAGUAUUACUUUCAUACCAUUUGAUAAUUCAAUACAUGUAUAUAUAAAAGAAUGGAAAACAUAAUUGAUAAUUAA